GCACCAGUGGUGGAAUGGAAUACACGCAACGCUAAGAACGUUGUGCCGGAAACGGCUUAGGAGUUCGAAUCUCCUUUGGUGCA
rnacentral:tRNA from 1 species